UGUCUAUGAAAAUGUAGACUACCUGCACCUAGACAGAAAGACCCUAUGAAGCUUCAUUGUUCCCUAGGAUUGGCUAUGGGCUUUUCAUGUGCAUCUUAGGUGGACAACAAAGAAAGCCUCCAUUUGGGGGAUCGAUCCAUCAAUGAGAUACCACUAUGGAUGAGCUAGAAUUCUAACCUAGUGUUAAGAGCUAUGGGCCAUGGGACAAUUUCAGGUAGAUAGUUUCUAUGGGGUGUACGUGUCCUAAAUGGUAAUGGAGGCGUGAUAAGGUAUCCUCGGGCUAGAUGAAGAUUGGCCCUCGAGUGAAAGGGUAGAAAGGAGCUUGACUGCAAGACCCACCCGUCGAGCAGGGACGAACGUGGGCCUUAGUGAUCUGACGUUGCCCAAUGGAAGGGUCAUCACUCAAUGGAUAAACGUUACUCUAGGAAUAGCAGGUUGAUCUUUCUCAAGAGCUCACAUCGUGGGAAGGUUUGGCACCUCGAUGUCGGCUCUUCGCCACCUAGGGCUAUAGUAUGUUCCAAGGGUUGGGUUAUUCGCCCAUUAAAGCGGUAUGUGAGUUGGCUUCAUAAUGCUUUGAGAAAGUUUGAUACAUAUCUGGUGUGGGCAUUAGAGCAUUGAGAGGACUUUUCCCUAGUAUGAGAGAAGGAUGCACCCUAGUGUACUAGUUAUUGUGCCCAUGGUAAACACUAGGUAGCCAAGUGUAGAGCAAAUAGAUGAUGAAAGUAUAAAAGUAGUAAGCCAACCCCAAGAUGAGUGUUCUCCUAUUCCUACUUCCCUAGAGCCUCCGGUAGCAUAGUCAAGACAUCGAUGGGUUCUUAUCCCCUAUUGGGAUAGAGCGAAAGAAGUUACGAGAAUUCAAGAGAAUGUCACGGUGAGAUGAGUUGUUUCUCAUUAACGAUAGGUGUCAAGUGGAAAUGCAGUGAUGUAUGCAGCGAUGGUAUCCUAAUAGACCGG
rfam:Lupinus angustifolius cultivar Tanjil chromosome LG02, whole genome shotgun sequence.